rnacentral:rRNA from 1 species
UACGUAGGGGGCAAGCGUUGUCCGGAAUCAUUGGGCGUAAAGAGCGUGUAGGCGGCCAGAUAAGUCCGCUGUGAAAUCUCGAGGCUCAACUUCGAGCUGUCGGUGGAAACUGUCUGGCUAGAGUCCGGAAGAGGAGAAUGGAAUUCCUGGUGUAGCGGUGAAAUGCGCAGAUAUCAGGAAGAACACCCGUGGCGAAGGCGGUUCUCUGGGACGGUACUGACGCGGAGACGCGAAAGCGUGGGGAGCGAACAGG